rnacentral:rRNA from 1 species
CGGGGUGGAGUAAUGCUUGGGAAUCUAGCUUAUGGAGGGGGAUAACUACGGGAAACUGUAGCUAAUACCGCGUAAUAUCGAGAGAUUAAAGUGUGGGACCUUCGGGCCACAUGCCAUAGGAUGAGCCCAAGUGGGAUUAGGUAGUUGGUGAGGUAAAGGCUCACCAAGCCGACGAUCUCUAGCUGGUCUGAGAGGAUGACCAGCCACACUGGGACUGAGACACGGCCCAG